rnacentral:rRNA from 1 species
AAGGCCUUCGGGUUGUNAAGUNCUUUCAGUCGUGAGGAAGGUUUUUGCGUUAAUAGCGCAGGGAUUUGACGUUAGCGACA